rnacentral:rRNA from 1 species
UACGUAGGGGGCGAGCGUUGUCCGAAGUUACUGGGCGUAAAGCGCGCGUAGGCGGUCUAUUAAGUCUGAGGUGAAAGGUUCAACGCUCAACGUGAACAGUGCCUUGGAUACUGGUAGACUUGAGUGUGGCAGAGGAGUAUGGAAUUCCUGGUGUAGCGGUGAAAUGCGUAGAUAUCAGGAGGAAUACCGAUGGCGAAGCAGUACUCUGGCUAACACUGACGCUGAGGUGCGAAAGCGUGGGGAGCAAACGGG